ACACGGAGGGCGCAAGCGUUGCUCGGAAUCACUGGGCGUAAAGCGGGUGUAGGCGCUCUAGCAAGUCAGAUGUGAAAGCCCACGGCUCAACCGUGGAAGUGCAUCUGAAACUGCUAGACUUGAGUGCCGGAGAGGGAAGUGGAAUUCCUGGUGUAGGGGUGAAAUCCGUAGAUAUCAGGAGGAACACCGGUGGCGAAGGCGACUUCCUGGACGGCCACUGACGCUGAGACCCGAAAGCGUGGGGAGCAAACAGGAUUAGAAACCCCAGUAGUCC
rnacentral:rRNA from 1 species